rnacentral:rRNA from 1 species
AGUGAACGUUGGCGGCGUGCCUAACACAUGCAAGUCGAACGAUCUUCGGAUAGCUUGCUAUUCGAGGAGAGUGGCGAACGGGUGAGUAACACGUAGGUAAUCUUCCCUUGAGUGAGGAACAACCUCGCGAAAGCGAGGCUAAUACUGCAUAAUACUCUGAAACAUAAGCUUUAGAGUCAAAGCUUUCCGAGCAAUCGGACGGCGCUUGAGGAUGAGCCUGUGGCCUAUUAGCUUGUUGGUAGGGUAAUGGCCUACCAAGGUAAUGAUGGGUAGCCGGCCUGAGAGGGUGUACGGCCACACUGGGACUGAGACACGGCCCAGACUCCUACGGGAGGCAGCAGCAAGGAAUAUUGUGCAAUGGGCGAAAGCCUGACACAGCGACGCCGCGUGGGGGAUGAAGGCCUUCGGGUUGUAAACCCCUUUUCUCAGGGAAGAAUAAUGACGGUACCUGAGGAAUAAGUCUCGGCUAACUACGUGCCAGCAGCCGCGGUAAGACGUAGGAGGCUAGCGUUAUCCGGAUUUACUGGGCGUAAAGAGGGCGUAGGCGGUCUGGCAAGUCGGAUGUAAAAUCUCUCGGCUUAACCGGGAGGGAUCAUUCGAUACUGUUGGGCUAGAGGGCAGCAGAGGGAGGUGGAAUUCCCGGUGGAGUGGUGAAAUGCGUAGAUAUCGGGAGGAACACCAGUGGCGAAGGCGGCCUCCUGGGCUGUUACUGACGCUGAGGCCCGAAAGCGUGGGGAGCGAACAGGAUUAGAUACCCUGGUAGUCCACGCUGUAAACUAUGGACACUAGGUAUGGGGAGUACCGACCCUCUCUGUGCCGAAGCUAACGCUUUAAGUAUCCCGCCUGGGGACUACGGCCGCAAGGCUAAAACUCAAAGGAAUUGACGG